rnacentral:rRNA from 1 species
CAAGUCGAGGGGCAGCACGGUGUAGCAAUACACUGGUGGCGACCGGCGCACGGGUGCGUAACGCGUAUGCAACCUACCCAUAACAGGGGGAUAACACUGAGAAAUUGGUACUAAUACCCCAUAACAUCAGGACCGGCAUCGGUUCUGGUUGAAAACUCCGGUGGUUAUGGAUGGGCAUGCGUUGUAUUAGCUGGUUGGUGAGGUAACGGCUCACCAAGGCAACGAUACAUAGGGGGACUGAGAGGUUAACCCCCACAUUGGUACUGAGACACGGACCAAACUCC